CAAGGGACAUGGAAAUGGGAGGGAGGAGGGGAUGAGAGUCAACUACAGAAAAGCAUGGCUGCCAUUGCCAUCCGAGAGCCUGUUACUGUAAGCUAAUUAAAUAAACAAACACAUGCACUCUAAACAUAGAAGACCUGCAGACUUCCUCGCGCGCCUAUAACGCAGACAAGAGGUGGUGGCUGAGGAUAUACUGCUUGUCCAGUUUGGUUUGGAUGAGGCACUGGGGGUUCCCAGUUCCUUAGCUGGAUCCAUACUGGAAUGACCAGCUGCUUUCAGACGGUACGACAUGGUGAGACCGGAGGAAACUGGAUUGGCACAGGACUACCGUCAAGUUUUGCUCUGGCAAAAGCCCUACUGAAGGCAUGGGUUGGGCUUUGGUCAGCACUUCCUGCUUCAACGUUAUAUAAAAUUCAAUUUCAGAUUAUCCGCCGAACUACCCCUGAGCAUCCAGGAAUAUUGAAAAAGAAUAAUCAUAAUAAAAAAGUUCUGUCUGUCUGCUCAGUCUGAGUAUCUGAAAGUGGCAUGGCUCAAAGGGAAACCUCUGGAACAGAGAGCUGAAGCCAGGGCUGUACAAGGGUUUGUGGAAUGCUCUGACCAACGUGGGUGCUGGCUGGCGAGUCAGGCUGGGAUGCAGCCAGCAGGAAAUGCGUGAGCAGCCCCACGGGGCUGCACCUGCUCACCCUUGGAACGCCUCCUGCGGUUGAGAGCAUCUCGGGUCAGAUCCUUUCUGGAAUUCCUUCCCACGAAGACCCCCUGAUCGUUCUUCUGAAUGGAGGGCUCCAAGGAGUGGGCUUGGGACUGCGUGCUGACUCUGUGUGGUGAUUGGAGAGGGCGCUGCAAAGCCCUGGUCCCUCUAGCAUCUGUCUCCAGCUUUAACGCCCCACAACUAUGCUGCAGACUGGGUCCAGGAGAGAUGGAGGUGGUCUGGCGUGUUUCUCUAGAGAUGGAAAUGGUACCUGCUGAGUCAUUCAAACUCUUACCAGAUGGCUUUUGUUAGCAACCAUUUGUAUUCCCCAGACACUUUUAUAAAUGCCAGCCUUUCUUAGCCCUUCCUUCUCCA